GACGAACGCUGGCGGCGUGCUUAACACAUGCAAGUCGAACGGAAAGGCCCUGCUUUUGUGGGGUGCUCGAGUGGCGAACGGGUGAGUAACACGUGAGUAACCUGCCCUUGACUUUGGGACAACUUCAGGAAACUGGGGCUAAUACCGGAUAGGAGCUCCUGCUGCAUGGUGGGGGUUGGAAAGUUUCGGCGGUUGGGGAUGGACUCGCGGCUUAUCAGCUUGUUGGUGGGGUAGUGGCUUACCAAGGCUUUGACGGGUAGCCGGCCUGAGAGGGUGACCGGCCACAUUGGGACUGAGAUACGGCCCAGACUCCUACGGGAGGCAGCAGUGGGGAAUAUUGCACAAUGGGCGGAAGCCUGAUGCAGCAACGCCGCGUGCGGGAGGACGGCCUUCGGGUUGUAAACCGCUUUCGCCUGUGACGAAGCGUGAGUGACGGUAAUGGGUAAAGAAGCACCGGCUAACUACGU
rnacentral:rRNA from 1 species